rnacentral:rRNA from 1 species
GACGAACGCUGGCGGCGUGCUUAACACAUGCAAGUCGAACGGUAAGGCCCUUCGGGGUACACGAGUGGCGAACGGGUGAGUAACACGUGGGUGAUCUGCCCUGCACUUCGGGAUAAGCCUGGGAAACUGGGUCUAAUACCGGAUAGGACCACUGCCUGCAUGGGUGGUGGUGGAAAGAUUUUGCGGUGUGGGGUGGGCCCGCGGCCUAUCAGCUUGUUGGUGGGGUGAUGGCCGACCCAGGCGACGACGGGUAGCCGGCCUGAGAGGGUGACCGGCAACACUUGGACUGAGCGACGGCCCAGACUCAUACGGGUGGGAGCAGUGGAGAAUAUUACACAAUGGGCGCAAGCCUGAUGCAGCGACGCCGCGUGAGUGAUGACGGCCUUCUGGUUGUAAACCUCGUUCAGCACCGACGAAGCGCAAGUGACGGUAGGUGCAGAAGAAGGACCGGCCAACUACGUGCCAGCCGCCGCGGUAA